rnacentral:lncRNA from 1 species
GUGAUUUAAAUUUGUAUUGGCUUUGUAAGAGCUUUGCAAAAUCAGGGUUUGUUUUGGGUGACUCUAGAUUUAUGAAAUAAAAAAGGAAAUGCCUUUUGGAGAAUUUUGUGAGUUUAGCAAUAGAUAUAUAGGUGAAAUUUUGAAGGUUUGUGGAUUUAUAUUUUUUCGAUAUAUGUUGUAAGUUUGAGCUUGAUUAAAGAAUUGGAUUGAGGAUUAUUGAGGUUUAAAUGGGUCAGGAUCUCAAAAAGUAGAGUUUUAGGUUGAGUGAGGAUUUCUAAGAUUUCUUGUAAUCAAUUAGUUGGAUUGGAAUGAAAAUUAUGUAUAUGGAUAGUAGACUUAUUUUCCUAUGUAUAUGAGAAAUUUGAGAUCAAUUGAAUAAUUUGAUAUUAGGAGAUAUUGGCACUAGAAAUUCAACAUUUAGAUUAGAGACGGCCAACAUUUGAGAAAAUAUUAGGAUCGAUCUUAUUUUUGGUGUGUUUGAUCUUCUUUAAAUUUUUUUUGCUUUUUGUCAACUUAAUUGUCAAGAGGUGAGAAAAUUUUGAGUUAAAAUAAAUGGUUCAUUCAUUAAUUAUUGAAGUUUAAAUCUGCUUUAGGAAUUACUUGAGAUUAUUUAGGAUUUGGUUAGGGUAUGUUUAGGGAUCGAUUAGGGUUUGGUUAAAGUUUGUUUAGAUUUUAUUUUGGAUUUGAUUGGGAUAUGUUUAGAGAUUCAUUAGGAUUUGAUUAAAAUUUUUUUAGGUUUUAUUUAGGAUUUGGUUAAGAUUUGAUAAGGAUUUAUUUAGGAUUUGAUUAAAAUUUAUUUAAGAUUUGAUUAGAGUUUGGUCAAGAUUUUUUUAGGAUUUGAUUAGGAUUUACUUAGGAUUUGGUUAGAAUUUGAUUAAGAUUUGAUUAGAGUUUUGUCAGGAUUUGGUUAGAAUUUGGUUAAUAUUUGAUUAGAGUUUUGUCAGGAUUUGUUUAGGAUUUGAUUAGGAUUUAUUUAGGAUUUGGUUAGAAUUUGGUUAAGAUUUUUUUAGGAUUUUUUUAGGAUUUGUUUAAGAUUUUAUUAGAAUUUGUUUAGAAUUUAUUUAAGGUUUUGUUAGAGUUUGUUUAGGAUUUGGUUAGGAUUUGGUUAGGAUUUGUUUAGUAUUUGAUUAGGAUUUAUUUAGGAUUUGGUUAGGUUUUAUUUAAGAUUUGAUUAGAAUUUGUUUAGAAUUUGGUUAGGAUUUAUUUAGGAUUUGUUUAAGAUUUUUUUAAGAUUUGAAUAGAGUUUCUUCAAGAUUUGAUUAGGAUUUGAUUAAGUUUUGUUUAGAAUUUGAUUAGAAUUUGGUUAAGAUUUGUUUGUAUUUGACUAGGAUUUAUUUAGGAUUUGGUUAGGGUUUGACUAAGAUUUGACUAGAAUUUGAUUAAAUUUUUACUAGGAUUUAAUUAAAGUUUCUAUUUCAAUAUUUUAUUAUGGUUUAUAUUUUAGUAUAUUUUAGAAUUUCUAUGUUAUUUUUUAUGAUUCUUUAAACGGUCUCUAAGAAUAUUUUGUAUUUUUUAUAUAAUUCAUUUGAAAUUUUGUUUGAAUUUGAUCGAUGUUUAAUUAUAUUUGGUAAACUUUAAUUAUAAUUUGUUUAAAAAUAUAUUAGAAUUAUUAGGACUUGUUAUUGCAAUUUUCUUUUUAUCUUCCACAGCUAAGAAUGUAGUGUCAUAAUAUGUGAAGUCUUGCUUGAGAAUGCUCCGGGCACUUGGCUAUGGAAGGUAGAAUGGAAAUUGCAACAACGAAAUGCUAAUUCUAAUAAAACACUAAUAAUGCUAAACAAACUUUAAUCAAAUUUAGAGAAACCUCAAAAGAAUUCUAAAGAAACAAUAAGAAAUCUUAAAGAAAUAUUAGAAUGAUUACAAACAUAUCUCAAAUACAUCUCAAUUCAAUCUUAAUUUAAUCCUAAUUGAAAUCCUAUUGGACUUCAUUCAAACUUUAGGCCAAAAACUAAUUAAAUCUUAAAUCCUAAACAAAUUCAAAUAAAAUCCUAAAUCCUAAAUCAAAUCUUGACCAAACUCUAACCAAAUCUUAAACCUUAAAUCAAAUCCCAACCAAAUUCUAAAUCCUAAAUCAAAUCCUAAGAAAUCCUAAAUCAAAUCUUAAAUCCUAAAUCAAACCCUAAUCAAACCUUAAAUCCUAAAUCAAAUCUUAACCAAUCCUAAACUAAAUCCUAAAUCCUAAAUCAAAUCCUAAUCCUAAAUCAAAUCCUAAGCAAAUCCUAAUUCUAAAUCAAAUCCUAACCAAAUCCUAAUCCUAAAUCAAAUCCUAACCAAAUCCUAAUCCUAAAUCAAAUCCUAACCAAAUCCUAAUCCUAAAUCAAAUCCUAACCAAAUCCUAAAUCCUAAAUCAAACCC